AUAAAUAAUUAUAUUUAAAAAAAUUUAUUAAAAGUUUAUUUUAUAUAUAAAUUUUAGUGUUAAUUUUUUAUUAUUUUAAUAAUAAUAAUAAUAUAAUAUAUAGUAAAUAAAAUUAAAAAUUUAAGAAAUUAAGAUUUAGUAAUACAAGAAUUAAUAACAAAUUUUGUGCCAGCAGUUGCGGUUAUACAAAAAUUAAAUUAAAUUAUUUCAGUUUAUAAAAAAUAAAUUUUUUUUUAAAAUAAAUAUUAAAUUAUUAGGUGAAAUUUUAAUUUAUUUAAAUUUUAUAUAAAAAUUAUGUUUUAACAAAUUUUAUUAUAAACUAGGAUUAGAUACCCUAUUAUUAAAAAUUUAAAUUAUAAUACUAAAAUAGUAAAUAAUUAUUUAUUGAAACUUAAAUAAUAUGGCGGUAUUUUAGUUCAUUUAGAGGAAUCUGUUUAAUAAUUGAUAAUCCACGAAUAAAUUUACUUAAUUUAAAAUUUUAUAUAUCGUUGUUAAAAAAAUAUUUUUUAUAAAAUAUAAUAUUUAAAAAUUAAAAUAAAAAAUUAAUUCAGAUCAAGAUGUAGAUUAUAAUUAAGAAUAUAAUGGAUUACAAUAAAUUUAUUUAAAUGAAUAUAAAAUUGAAAUAUUUUAUUGAAGGUGGAUUUAAAUGUAAUUUUAAUUAGUUUAUUAAAAUGAUUAAAAAUUAAAAUAUGUACAUAUUGCCCGUCACUUUCAUUUAAAAAUUGAAAUAAGUCGUAACAAAGUAGAGGUACUGGAAAGUGUUUCUAGAAAGAU
rnacentral:ncRNA from 1 species